rnacentral:lncRNA from 1 species
AGCAGCUCGUCCCCGCCUGCCCCUGCCCAGGUUUUCUCUUCAACAUACGCCCCGCAAGCACCUUGGGGUGAGGCAGGGGGUGGCCAGCUCCAUCCUCGGGAAGCACGCGCUCAGCCCUCCGAGAGAAAUAAAGGCGAGGAUAGGAGUGGACGAGGGAUGGGGCAGGCAGAUGGCAGAGAGAAGCCUGGAGGCGCCCGGGCCAGCAGGGCAUUGAGGAUAUAUCCCACGGUGCCCGCAGGCUGGGGGUACCCCCGAGCGCAGAAAAAAAUCCGAGACAGCUAGCUGAGCUCCAACCCGGGAAUUCAGAGUCCUCAGCAGGAGGCAGGACAAGGCCACAGGCUGAGGAGGUGGCAUGACACAUGCCAAGAGUGGGGGCGAAGGAGGAGGACAGCUCUGGGCAGGGAGGGGCCCUGGCUUGUGGCAGCAGGCACAGGAACUAGCCAGACAUGUGGGCAGGGGUCUCCCUGUCCUCUCCAGGCCCUAACGGGUAGCUGAGAACCAGCAACACAACUGCCCCGGCCUGACCUCGUUCACUGAGCAGACUCCGUGCAGGGCCUGCGCUGCCCGGGCCCCACGCCAGGCGAGCUAGAGCCCAGAGGCAUCUGCAGUGACGCUGGCCUCACCGGCUGCCCGGGCACAGGAGGAGACGACAGACAGGGAAGCCCAGCAACGCGGGAGGAUAAGCAGGGUGACACCUGAGGGAUGCGCUCCGAGCUGUGGGCCAGAAGCAGCCUAGAUGGGCAGGGCAGUGAGGACCCUUGCCAGGAACUCACGGACCCCUCACGGCCUGCUGUGGAGACACCAGCUUCAGGGUCCUGCAAGCAAGGAUGGCCGGCUCCCAAACUUUGCGAUCUGUGAGCUGGAAACUUCGACGACCCUAGUACUUCAAAGGGCGGCAAGCUGGCCGCGUGACUUGACACGGCUGGGCCCCACCCGCGUUUCCCUCCCCGUGGCCAAGUGGCUUUGGGAGCUGGCCCAGCGCUGACCCUCCUGAGGCCUGGGCCCGAAGCGCCCACCCACAGCACCUGCUCUGCUGCCCGGCUCCUGGCUGCAGCUGC